rnacentral:rRNA from 1 species
GACGAACGCUGGCGGCGUGCUUAACACAUGCAAGUCGAACGGAAAGGCCCUGCUUUUGUGGGGUGCUCGAGUGGCGAACGGGUGAGUAACACGUGAGUAACCUGCCCUUGACUUUGGGAUAACUUCAGGAAACUGGGGCUAAUACCGGAUAGGAGCUCCUGCUGCAUGGUGGGGGUUGGAAAGUUUCGGCGGUUGGGGAUGGACUCGCGGCUUAUCAGCUUGUUGGUGGGGUAGUGGCUUACCAAGGCUUUGACGGGUAGCCGGCCUGAGAGGGUGUCCGGCCACAUUGGGACUGAGAUACGGCCCAGACUCCUACGGGAGGCAGCAGUGGGGAAUAUUGCUCAAUGGGCGGAAGCCUGAUGCAGCAACGCCGCGUGCGGGAUGACGGCCUUCGGGUUGUAAACCGCUUUCGCCUGUGACGAAGCGUGAGUGACGGUAAUGGUUAAAGAAGCACCGGCUAACUACGUG